rnacentral:rRNA from 1 species
AGUCGAACGAGGCUUCGGGGGCAACUCCGAAGUCGAGUGGCGGACGGGUGAGUAACACGUGGGUAACCUGCCCGGAAGUGGGGAAUACCUCGGGGAAACUCGAGCUAAUACCGCAUGACAUCACCGGGACGAGAGUCCUGGUGAUCAAAGCGGGGUCGCAAGAUCUCGCGCUACCGGAUGGGCCCGCGCCCGAUUAGCUAGUUGGCGAGGUAACGGCUCACCAAGGCUUCGAUCGGUAACCGGCCUGAGAGGGCGAUUGGUCACACCGGAACUGAGACACGGUCCGGACUCCUACGGGAGGCAGCAGUGGGGAAUCUUGCGCAAUGGGCGAAAGCCUGACGCAGCAACGCCGCGUGGAGGAUGAAGGCCCUUGGGUUGUAAACUCCUGUCGGCUGGGAAGAAAUCGCGCGGUGCUCAUACCAUCGCGCGUUGACUGUACCAGCAAAGGAAGCCCCGGCUAACUCUGUGCCAGCAGCCGCGGUAAUACAGAGGGGGCUAGCGUUAUUCGGAAUUAUUGGGCGUAAAGGGCGCGUAGGCGGCCCUGCGUGUCUUCCGUGAAAUCCCUCGGCUUAACUGAGGACGUGCGGAAGAAACUGCGGGGCUCGAGUCCGGGAGAGGGGGGUGGAAUUCCCAGUGUAGCGGUGAAAUGCGUAGAUAUUGGGAGGAACACCGGUGGCGAAGGCGGCCCCCUGG